GAUGAACGCUGGCGGCGUGCUUAACACAUGCAAGUCGAACGGAAAGGCCCAAGCUUGCUUGGGUACUCGAGUGGCGAACGGGUGAGUAACACGUGGGUGAUCUGCCCUGCACUUCGGGAUAAGCCUGGGAAACUGGGUCUAAUACCGGAUAGGACGAUGGUUUGGAUGCCAUUGUGGAAAGUUUUUUCGGUGUGGGAUGAGCUCGCGGCCUAUCAGCUUGUUGGUGGGGUAAUGGCCUACCAAGGCGUCGACGGGUAGCCGGCCUGAGAGGGUGUACGGCGACAUUGGGACUGAGAUACGGCCCAGACUCCUACGGGAGGCAGCAGUGGGGAAUAUUGCACAAUGGGCGCAAGCCUGAGGCAGCGACGCCGCGUGGGGGAUGACGGCCUUCGGGUUGUAAACUCCUGUCGCUAGGGACGAAGCGUUUUUGUGACGGUACCUGGAGAAGAAGCACCGGCUAACUACGUG
rnacentral:rRNA from 1 species